CAGCACCUCAAGUGGUCAGGAUGAUUAUUGGGCCUAAAGCAUCCGUAGCCGGCUCUGUAAGUUUUCGGUUAAAUCUGUAUGCUCAACAUACAGGCUGCCGGGAAUACUGCAGAGCUAGGGAGUGGGAGAGGUAGACGGUACUCGGUAGGAAGGGGUAAAAUCCUUUGAUCUAUUGAUGACCACCUGUGGCGAAGGCGGUCUACCAGAACACGUCCGACGGUGAGGGAUGAAAGCUGGGGGAGCGAACCGGAUUAGAGACCCGAGUAGUCC
rnacentral:rRNA from 1 species